UUAUGAAUGUAAUCAGUGUGAUAAAGCCUUUGCAAGCCACAAUAAUCUUCAAAAACAUAUAAAAAGACAUACUGGAGAGAAAUCUUAUAAAUGUAAUCAGUGUGAUAAAACCUAUGCACAUUAUAGUCAUCUCCAAACACAUAAAAGAAUUCAUACUGGAGAGAAACCCUACAAAUGUAAUCAAUGUGGUAAAGCCUUUUCCCAACACAGUUCUCUACAAGUCCAUAAAAGAACACACACUGGAGAGAAACCCUAUGAAUGUAACCAAUGUGGUAAAUCCUAUGCACGUCACAGUCAUCUCCAAAGACACAAAAGAACACAUACUGGAGAGAAACCCUAUCAAUGUAAUCACUGUGGUAAAGCCUUUGCUUAUUAUAAUAGUCUCCAGUAUCAUAAACGAGCACAUACUAGAGAGAAAUCUUACAAAUGUAAUCAGUGUGAUAAAGCCUUUGCAAGUCAUAGUAAUCUUCAAAAACAUAUAAGACAUACUGGAGAUUAUAAAUGUAAUCAGUGUGUUAAAACUUUUACACAUCACAGUCAUCUCCAAAGACAUAAAAGAACACAUACUGGAGAGAAACCCUAUGAAUGUAACCAAUUUGGUAAAAUAGUUGCACAACAUAGUACUUUCCACAGCAUAAAAAAAGCACAUAUGGGCUGGAGAGAUGGUUCCGUGGUUAAGAGCACUGAGUGCUCUUCCAGAGGUCCUGAGUUCAAUUCCCAGCUACCACAUGGUGGCUCGCAACCAUCUGUAAUGGAAUCUGAAGCCCUCUUCUGGUG
rnacentral:lncRNA from 1 species